AUUACAUGUGAUUCAUGUGUAAAUCACAAGUGAAUUACAUGUGAUUCACAUAUGAUUAAUUGUGAUUCACAUGUAAAUUACAAGUGAAUUACCUAUGAAUUACAUGCGAUUCACAAGUUAAUCACAUAUGAGUUAUAUGUGAUUCACAUAUUAAUCACAUGUAAUUCACAUGUAAAUCACAAGUGAAUCACAUAUGAAUUACGUCUAUAUGCACACAUGCAUUUUGUGUAAGUGUUAUUCGUUAAUUAUUUUUUAAAAUUUCUUGUGAAUUUCACAUUUAAAUCUUAAUGAAACGACCCAAAAUACGACCCAGAUUUUUUGUUUUAAUAUUACUAAAAAUCAAAUCAUCGAGUAUCAUAUAAAAUAAAAACCAUGGAAUGAGUAACUCAAAUGUCAUAGUAAUU
rnacentral:lncRNA from 1 species